GAUCAUGGCUCAGGGCGAACGCUGGCGGCGUGCUUAACACAUGCAAGUCGAGCGGGGAUAUCUGGAGUGCUUGCACACUGGAUAUUCUAGCGGCGGACGGGUGAGUAACGCGUGAACAAUCUGUCCCAUACAGGGGGAUAACAGAUGGAAACAUCUGCUAAUACCGCAUAAGACCACGAUGCCACAUGGCGACGGGGUAAAAGGAUUUAUCCGGUAUGGGGUGAGUUCGCGUCCG
rnacentral:rRNA from 1 species